AGAAUUUCUACCCAUGAAAUGGCGCUUGUGCCUGAGGGCAUGAGCCAUGGGGGCUCAGUUCUUGGAUUAUGGAAUGCUCCUCCAUGGGCUCCCCAUGGCCCCUACCCAGCGUGGCGCAUGGGAGAGCAGCAGAGGUGACCCCAUGAAGUGACCACCACGAGCCCACCUCAGCGGAAAAGGUUUUGGGCCACCAUGAAGUGACCACAACGAGCCCCCCCUCAGGUCAGAGCUCCUCCAAACCCCCCCAAAAUCCCCCGACCCCCCCAGUCCGAAGCGAUGAGACCCUAAGCUGGAGGCUGAGUCCGAUGGCAGCUCUGAGUUACCAAAGCCCUGAUCGGAUUUGGGGAGGGGGCUGCACCCCCCUGCGGAGGUCUGACCCCCUCUGAGCUCCCCAAUUUCCUCCACAGCCUCGGGAGCUGCGGAUCCCUUUGGCAGGAUCCCAGUCCUGCCCCCUCUGAAAUUUGGGGGGUUUUGGAGCCAAUCUGUGAAUCCUGAGACAAUCCCAGGUGACAGCCGCAGGACACACCUGGAGCCAGGUGCAGCAGGAGUGGGGGGCUCAGCUCUUGGAUCAUGAAAGUAUUACCAACACAAAUAAAAACUGCUUUUUU
rnacentral:lncRNA from 1 species